UGCUGUUUUCACCAUUUUUGUUUGGGAUUUUGGGAAAGAUAAAAGCACAUUGUUGGCUCUUCCACCAAAGAACUGUCAGGAUUAGCCAUAAUCCAGCAAUGAGGAGAAAAACAUUGAUAUGUGUAGCAGAUAGCGGCUGCAGUCACCCAUCCUGUCUCUUUAGCUACAGCUUUAACACUUCAGAGGCCCAAAGUUCAAGGGCAAAUGGGGUGACCCUUCUCUCCUCUCACUAUAAAUGGUGUAAAAAGUGGGCUGGCUUGCUGUGGAGCCAUCCAAGGCAUGCCCAGUGUGAGCCUGUAGUAUGACCCACACCGGAGACCCCUACGUUAGGUUGACCCUUGUGUGCGUGACCCCAAAUAUGGAUGAGGCAUGGCUUUACAGGGUAGGGAAAGGCUGUCAGGGGGAUAUGUGAAGGAUACCUAUGUCUCUCUGUGUGUAUGGCAUGGAUUGGCACACUUUCUGAGGGGCAGGGCUCUGUGACUAUGUGGUCUCACUACAGUUGAAUAUGUCCUCUAACUGCAAUAUAACCCUAUGAAUUUGGAAAAUGAAAGUCAUCUAAAUGAAAUAAAGUCAUCUAAAUGAUGACAUUAUUUAAUAUAAACAUUGGUUUUGAUCAAAACAAUUACUUUAUGUCCUUACAGGAAGGCUAUUUAUUUUCCAAGGCGGACUACACUAUGACAAUAUUACCAUGACAUAAUCACUUUAUUGCCCAAAAUACAUUUUUGAUGAAUUUGUAUCAAAUAUUCUAG